AUGGGGUAUGUCCAGUCAUUUGUAGUAGCCACUUAGUCACAAACACUGGCCAAAUAUUUGUUUUCUGCUUUUUUAACACAAAAACAAAUAUGAAGGCUAACUUUGGCCAGUGUUUGUGACUAAGUGGCUACUAAAGAACACAGGACAUACCCCAA